rnacentral:tRNA from 1 species
GCGGGAGUAGCUCAAUUGGCCAGAGCGACAGCCUUCCAAGCUGUAGGUUGCGGGUUCGAGUCCCGUUUCCCGCUCCA